GGAGAGGUGCCAGAGUGGUCGAAUGGGGCGGUCUCGAAAACCGUUGUACCGCAAGGUACCGUGGGUUCGAAUCCCACCCUCUCCG
rnacentral:tRNA from 1 species